UCCUACGGGAGGCAGCAGUGGGGAAUUUUGGACAAUGGGCGAAAGCCUGAUCCAGCAAUGCCGCGUGUGUGAAGAAGGCCUUCGGGUUGUAAAGCACUUUCAGUAGGGAGGAAAGGGUGUAGUUUAAUACGCUAUAUCUGUGACGUUACCUACAGAAGAAGGACCGGCUAACUCCGUGCCAGCAGCCGCGGUA
rnacentral:rRNA from 1 species